rnacentral:rRNA from 1 species
GAGUUUGAUCCUGGCUCAGAUUGAACGCUGGCGGCAUGCCUUACACAUGCAAGUCGAACGGCAGCACGGGAGCAAUCCUGGUGGCGAGUGGCGAACGGGUGAGUAAUAUAUCGGAACGUGCCCAGUCGUGGGGGAUAACGCAGCGAAAGCUGUGCUAAUACCGCAUACGAUCUAUGGAUGAAAGCGGGGGACUCGCAAGGGCCUCGCGCGAUUGGAGCGGCCGAUAUCAGAUUAGGUAGUUGGUGUGGUAAAAGCGCACCAAGCCGACGAUCUGUAGCUGGUCUGAGAGGACGACCAGCCACACUGGAACUGAGACACGGUCCAGACUCCUACGGGAGGCAGCAGUGGGGAAUUUUGGACAAUGGGCGCAAGCCUGAUCCAGCAAUGCCGCGUGCAGGAUGAAGGCCUUCGGGUUGUAAACUGCUUUUGUACGGAACGAAACGGUCUGCUUUAAUACAGUGGGCUAAUGACGGUACCGUAAGAAUAAGCACCGGCUAACUACGUGCCAGCAGCCGCGGUAAUACGUAGGGUGCGAGCGUUAAUCGGAAUUACUGGGCGUAAAGCGUGCGCAGGCGGUUAUAUAAGACAGAUGUGAAAUCCCCGGGCUCAACCUGGGACCUGCAUUUGUGACUGUAUAGCUAGAGUACGGUAGAGGGGGAUGGAAUUCCGCGUGUAGCAGUGAAAUGCGUAGAUAUGCGGAGGAACACCGAUGGCGAAGGCAAUCCCCUGGACCUGUACUGACGCUCAUGCACGAAAGCGUGGGGAGCAAACAGGAUUAGAUACCCUGGUAGUCCACGCCCUAAACGAUGUCAACUGGUUGUUGGGUCUUCACUGACUCAGUAACGAAGCUAACGCGUGAAGUUGACCGCCUGGGGAGUACGGCCGCAAGGUUGAAACUCAAGGAAUUGACG